AGUCUUAUGAUACUUUAAUAUAAGAUGAUUUCUGCCCAAUGAUUAUUUUAAUGGCCGCAGUACCCUGACUGUGCUAAGGUAGCAUAAUAAAUUGGCUUUUAAAUGAAGUCUAGAAUGAAAGGAUAUUUGAAUAGUAAUUGUCUCUAUUUUAAUUUUUUGAAUUUACUUAUUAGGUGAAAAUUCCUAUCUUAAAAAGAAAGACGAGAAGACCCUUAGAAUUUUAAAAUUUAAAAUCUAUUAUUUUAUUUUUUUUGUUGGGGUGACAUAUUAACAUUUUUAACUUAUUUGAUUACAAGACCAAAGAUUUAGUUAGAGUAAAUUACCUUAGGGAUAACAGCAUAAUUUUCUUUUUAGAUUAUGACCUCGAUGUUGGACUAGGAACCUAAUAAUUAGUAAUUAAAUUGGUUAGUUCUGUUCGAACUAAAUUUUCCU
rnacentral:rRNA from 1 species